UACGUAGGGAGCAAGCGUUGUUCGGAUUUACUGGGCGUAAAGGGCGCGUAGGCGGCAUAUUAAGUCAUCUGUGAAAUCUCCGAGCUUAACUCGGAACUGUCAGCUGAUACUGAUGUGCUAGAGUGCAGAAGGGGCAACUGGAAUUCUCGGUGUAGCGGUGAAAUGCGUAGAUAUCGAGAGGAACACCUGCGGCGAAGGCGGGUUGCUGGGCUGACACUGACGCUGAUGCGCGAAAGCUAGGGGAGCGAACGGG
rnacentral:rRNA from 1 species